rnacentral:lncRNA from 1 species
ACCAAAGGACAAGAAAAAUCGAAUCACCAUGAACUCGAGCAUCUAUCACCACCUGACGCCAAGGCAUGGCCCAGCUUAUGGACCAAAACUAUAUUAUUUCGACAACCUCUUCACUUGUGGGAAAAAUGCUGGAGACAAGCUUCAGGGACAUGGCUAGAAGUAGUGGGGGAAUGGUGAUCAGCUAUUCAAUGGCCAUACAACUGACCACCAUGAA